GACGGAGGGCGCAAGCGUUGGUCGGAAUCACUGGGCGUAAAGCGCGUGUAGGCGGCUUGGUCAGUCGGGUGUGAAAGCCCGGGGCCUAACCCCGGAACUGCACUCGAAACUGCCUCGCUCGAGUCCCGGAGAGGAUGGUGGAAUUCCCGGUAGUGGUGAAAUACGUAGAUAUCGGGAGGAACACCAGCGGCGAAGGCGGCCAUCUGGACGGUGACUGACGCUGAGACGCGAAAGCGUGGGGAGCAAACAGG
rnacentral:rRNA from 1 species